AACGAACGCUGGCGGCAUGCCUAACACAUGCAAGUCGAACGAGAUCUUCGGGUCUAGUGGCGCACGGGUGCGUAACGCGUGGGAAUCUGCCCUUUGGUUCGGAAUAACAGGUGGAAACGACUGCUAAUACCGGAUGAUGACGAAAGUCCAAAGAUUUAUCGCCAGAGGAUGAGCCCGCGUAGGAUUAGCUAGUUGGUGUGGUAAAGGCGCACCAAGGCGACGAUCCUUAGCUGGUCUGAGAGGAUGAUCAGCCACACUGGGACUGAGACACGGCCCAGACUCCUACGGGAGGCAGCAGUGGGGAAUAUUGGACAAUGGGCGAAAGCCUGAUCCAGCAAUGCCGCGUGAGUGAUGAAGGCCUUAGGGUCGUAAAGCUCUUUUACCCGGGAUGAUAAUGACAGUACCGGGAGAAUAAGCUCCGGCUAACUCCGUGCCAGCCGCCGCAGUAA
rnacentral:rRNA from 1 species